rnacentral:rRNA from 1 species
GACGAACGCUGGCGGCGUGCUUAACACAUGCAAGUCGAACGGAAAGGCCCUGCUCUUGUGGGGUGCUCGAGUGGCGAACGGGUGAGUAACACGCGAGUAACCUGCCCUUGACUUUGGGAUAACUUCAGGAAACUGGGGCUAAUACCGGAUAGGAGCUCCUGCUGCAUGGUGGGGGUUGGAAAGUUUCGGCGGUUGGGGAUGGACUCGCGGCUUAUCAGCUUGUUGGUGGGGUAGUGGCUUACCAAGGCUUUGACGGGUAGCCGGCCUGAGAGGGUGACCGGCCACAUUGGGACUGAGAUACGGCCCAGACUCCUACGGGAGGCAGCAGUGGGGAAUAUUGCACAAUGGGCGGAAGCCUGAUGCAGCAACGCCGCGUGCGGGAUGACGGCCUUCGGGUUGUAAACCGCUUUCGCCUGUGACGAAGCGUGAGUGACGGUAAUGGGUAAAGAAGCACCGGCUAACUACGUG